rnacentral:rRNA from 1 species
UGGGGAAUAUUGGGCAAUGGGCGAAAGCCUGACCCAGCCACGCCGCGUGAGUGAUGAAGGCCUUCGGGUCGUAAAGCUCUGUGGGGAGGGACGAACAAACUCUGGGCUAAUCACCAGGGUCCUGACGGUACCUCCUUAGCAAGCACCGGCUAACCCUGUGCCAGCAGCCGCGGUAAUACAGGGGGUGCAAACGUUGCUCGGAAUCAUUGGGCGUAAAGCGCACGUAGGCGGUCUGUUAUGUCGGAUGUGAAAGCCCUUGGCUUAACUGAGGAAGUGCAUCCGAAACUGGCAGGCUAGAGUACUAAAGAGGGUCGCGGAAUUCCCGGUGUAGAGGUGAAAUUCGUAGAUAUCGGGAGGAACACCGGUGGCGAAGGCGGCGACCUGGGUAGAUACUGACGCUGAGGUGCGAAAGCGUGGGGAGCAAACA